rnacentral:rRNA from 1 species
GAUAUACAUUGCUUCAAUUUGGCUUUGCUAGCCAAGCAAGCUUGGGGUUUGCUGGAUAAUCCGGAAUCAUUAUGUGCUGCAAUCUUGAGAGCUAAUUAUUUCCUGAAUGGUGAUUUAAUGAAUGUAAAUCUAAAGAAGGGUUCCUUUUUUACCUGGCAAAGCAUUAUGGCGGGGGUUAAUUCUCUAAGGAAUGGUUAUAUUGUGAGUACGAAAUGGACACAAUAUUGA